rnacentral:sRNA from 1 species
AUAAUUUCAUCAUAUUCA